rnacentral:ncRNA from 1 species
UUAUGAAAAAUGAGGAAACAAAAUUUAUUGUCUUUAUAAUUACUUCAUAAUUGAAAUGCAGUAUGGAGUUUUUAACAAGAUCUGUUCGAAAAAUGAACACCGGGAUAACCGUUCGUAGCUUUUCUUAUCAUUGUCAAGGAAAAUUUGUCGAGUGUUGGAUUGUUCAUCCAUGCUGUGUUUACACCGUCGUAAGAUGGGUUAGUUUUACCCCAAUAAUGACAAUAUGUUGUUGUAACAGCAUUCCGGCGUAGGAGGAACCGAAGGUACGAGCCAAUCGCACAAUACUUGUUCGAGCUAACAGUGAUCCGUUGCUACCUCCGCUCGACAAUGCCUGAACUCCUCUAACGUCGAACAGGAAAAUGUCCGGAAAUCAAUUCCUCUUUUGAGUGCGUAUUGAAGGAAUUCAAUUGAGAACAAUUUAAACAUUCCAUUUUGUUUAUCUUAUGAUUAAUAAGCACACAGAACCUCGAAAUAAUGAAAAAAAAAGAAAAUUUAAUCACUUGUGGUUUUGU